UAUACACUAAGUUCAUUUUCUGUAUUUUAGAUAUGGUAGCCCAGUUCGGGGUGGAAACCGUUGUUCUGUUUAAUAAGAGGACCGUUGUGUAUCAUCUAUGAUUGGCGGCUAUGCAGGAAUUCACCAGGUUCAUAAAACAGAACCCUCUGUUGCAUUAUACCCAGUUCUGAAAUUACUAUGGACCCCUAAAGUACUUCAUCUUUUGAUGAUAUUUAUUUAUGUAUUUUACAUAUUAUGCAAAGACCCCAGAUGGUCACUGUUCCACUUGUAUUCCAGUGGCCAUGGAGAACAGGUGAAGGUAAUUUUUACUUGACUUAAAAUGUCCUUUGUAUGCAUCUUCUUUCUCAAGGGCCUCUUCAACUCCUGGGGCUUCAUCUGCCAGGAGCCAACGGAAGUGCUCUGCUCACAGGCAUGCAUAAGGGUAUCUCAGGUAGCUCUGCCUUGUGUCAAGAGUAGGAAAGAUACUUCGGAUAAAGUUGUCCCUAUUUUGUCUUAAUUUGUGGGUGUCACAGAGAUGCUUUAAGUCAAAAUUAAAAGCGCUCUAUCAUUCUUUCUACUCCUCCAAUCCUCAACAUGGAAAUUGUAGUUUCUAAUAAUAUAAAAUAUGUAGAUUGUAAUAUGCUUUCCGGUUACGAUUUGGUGAGUUUAAACUAUAUUUUUAUUUUUUACAGCACCAGAGGGAAUGAGCAAACAGCUUUGAGGAGUCUCUGCAUAAGAGACUAUUGGUUACUGAAGGGCUGUAUUGUAAAGGAAGAUCUCAUCGCAGUGAAAAAUUGCGGGAACAUCUAAAAUCACAUGGAUUUUGGGGAUGCGCGAUGACGUAGCACGUCUGCACGCCAUACCCGCGUUCUGAGGUAGGGGCGGACAGAUACCGCGGCGGGGAUGAAACGAUGACGAGCAAGGCUGAAUCCACACUGACUCGAAGGACGCCAAUGGUCUUGGAAGGAGCAUAGCGAGUUCGGACUGCAGCUGACUAGGAAGCGAGUUCGGACUGCAGCUGACUAGGAACAGGAACUGGAACUCCACCCACCCCCAACCCAUUCCCCUUAAUGUUCCUCUCCCAUAUCUUUUAGUGCCCCCCCUACCCCAGUGUUCAUUUCCCCUUCCCUUCCCUGUACCUUAGUGCUCUCCCUAAAUGUUUCUCUCUCUCUCCCCCUUAGUGUUCUUUCCCUUCCCCAUAGUGUUCUUCCCCCCUCCCCAUAGUGGUGUUCUUCUUUUGAAAUAUGAAAGCAAUUAUGAAUAUUUGAAACAGAAAAUAGAAUUUUUCUUCUUAGACAACAAUCUACAGGACACUUCGCCAAUUAAUAAUUGGUGUGCUUCCAAGGCCAUUAUGCGUGGACAUCUUAUUAUAUCAACUGUUUGCGCAUGCGCCCAGGGCGCACAGCGAUAGGAGGACGGCAUUUGUACCAUCAAUGGGCGUGACAUCAGCCCUAUGCUUGCUGCCACCCACGUAGAUGUACUUUAUGUGAAUGGAGACUGUGGUCACAUGCUCCGCGCGAGCAAACCCUGAUUGGUCCGUAUUGCGCAUGUGCAUAGCGAUUGAUAGGACGCGGGGUGCACAUCAGCUGUGGUGAGUCUUACUAUUUUAUUUAUGAUAUAUAAGCUGAAUUAUUUGUCAUGUAUUUUUAUUUUUUUUUUGUUAUUUCUGAUCCUGAAGAAAGCCCAGAUUGGGGCUGAAACGUCGAUCAAUUCUUUUUAAUGCAUAUUGAAUAAAACAGUUUGCAAUUUUUAUUUAGAAGACCAAAGAGUGCAGCCUUCAUCUUUGUUUGUUUUUUAUAUCUACAUUUGCCAGUUGGCUUAUG